GACGAACGCUGGCGGCGUGCUUAACACAUGCAAGUCGAACGAUGAAGCUAGAGCUUGCUCUGGUGGAUUAGUGGCGAACGGGUGAGUAACACGUGAGUAACCUGCCCCGAACUCUGGGAUAACUGCUGGAAACGGUAGCUAAUACCGGAUAUGACCAAUGAAGGCAUCUUCUGUUGGUGGAAAGAAUUUCGGUUCGGGAUGGACUCGCGGCCUAUCAGCUUGUUGGUGAGGUAACGGCUCAGCAAGGCGACGACGGGUAGCCGGCCUGAGAGGGUGAUCGGCCACACAGGGACUGAGACACGGCCCAGACUCCUACGGGAGGCAGCAGUGGGGAAUAUUGCACAGUCGGCGCAAGCCUGGUGCAGCACCGCCGCGUGAGGGACGACGGCCUUCGGGUUGUAACCUCUUUUAGUAGGGAAGAAGCGAAAGUGACGGUACCUGCAGAAAAAGCACCGGCUAACUACGUGCCAGCAGCCGCCGUAA
rnacentral:rRNA from 1 species